rnacentral:lncRNA from 1 species
GCCUGCCUCAUGGGCAGUGCCAGGCCACAGGAGGAAAGCCAGUGACACAGGGAUAAGAGUGGAAUUCCUGGGCUGGAGGCACAUUGCAAGCACACGUGCUGUGGAGGAGUUUUGUGAGGUGAGUUCUGUGAGGUAAAGGGUGGCGUCGCUGAAUGUCCAAGUUCAGCACCACUUUUUAACUUUUCCAUCACCAGACCUUAUCUUCCCAGAAAACAGAUGAAAAGUUCUGAGGAGGGGGUGAUCC